GGAGGAAAACAACCAGUCAGAUCCGAGCUGUCAAUCAUUUGCGAACUCCAAACGGUGGUGAACUUGUCUACACGUCUGGCUCGUGUGCAGUAAACUCACCAGGACAGCAGGAGUCAGUGUAGAGGUACUCCAGGAAAGACAGGAAGGUAUCCGAGGAGACACCGUGGAUGGGCACCACUCGGCUCCGGGCCUCUGCGUACUUCCCGCUGAACAUGGCAGCCAUGACGUCACAGCGCGCCACCAGCACUGCUCGAUAAGCGUGGACCCACCUUGCACCAUGAAGAUGACAUCGGAGUAAAGAGGAGAAUUGAAGAGGUUGACAAGAGUCUGGGGGCCGAGCUGAGCUGCCCGGGCGCUCGGGGUGUCCCUGGGGCCCUACAUGCACACACAC